rnacentral:snRNA from 1 species
GGAUGUGAGGGCGAUCUGGCUGCGACAUCUGUCACCCCAUUGAUCGCCAGGGUUGAUUCUGCUGAUCUGGCUGGCUAGGCGGGUGUUCCCUUCCUCCCUCACCGCUCCAUGUGCGUCCCUCCCAAAGCUGUGCUCUCAGUCAAAGAGGACUGCAUUCCCAGAAUAGAGACGGACCGGUCUUCAGUAGAGGGUAUAUAUAGGAGUAGCUGCGCUCCCCUGCUAGAACCUCCAAACAAGCUCUCAAGUAUAAUAGUAAGAGGAAAAAAAAUCCACUGGCAGCAGUGGAUUCAUAGU